CCUACGGGAGGCAGCAGUGGGGAAUAUUGGGCAAUGGGCGCAAGCCUGACCCAGCAACGCCGCGUGAAGGAAGAAGGCUUUCGGGUUGUAAACUUGUUUUAAGGGGGAAGAGCAGAAGACGGUACCCCUUGAAUAAGCCACGGCUAACUACGUGCAAGCAGCCGCGGUAAUACGGAGGUGGCAAGCGUUGUCCGGAUUUACUGGGUGUAAAGGGCGUGCAGCCGGAGAGACAAGUCAGAUGUGAAAUCCACGGGCUCAACCCGUGAACUGCAUGUGAAACUGUGUCCCUUGAGUGUCGGAGAGGUAAGCGGAAUUCGUUGUGUAGCGGUGAAAUGCGUAGAUAUAAGGAAGAACACCAGUGGCGAAGGCGGAUUACUGGACGAGAACUGACGGUGAGGCGCGAAAGCGUGGGGAGCAAACAGGAUUAGAUACCCUUGUAGUC
rnacentral:rRNA from 1 species